GCGGCAGGCAGGAGGGGAGUCUGGCACAACGGCUGGGAGAGGAAACUUGACGCUUCUGGGCCACCCUUUGCCAGGGCCUCGCUCGAGACGCCGAAAGGAGCCUGUUUGUGCACUGCGGCCGCCCUGUGUGUGACUGACUCUGGAUCUUGUCUUCUGGCCAGCUCCUCGAUUCCUGCUCAGCCGGAUUUGGGGGGCAGCACUGCCUAGCGCGGGGAGGAGAGCAAAAGAGACUACAAAGAAGCAUAAAAUGAAGAGACAAUACAACCAACCAAAGACCGGGGGCAGCAGCACACCAGCAAGACGGCAUCUUCUCUUCCCCAGCCUAGAAGCCCUGUGAAAUCGAGGAUCUUCCCCCUAAAACACACACACACAAGAUAUGUGCAAUCAAGCUGCUACCGCUUGGUAAAAAGCUCACGGUGCCUAACCCAAAAGGAUCAGGAGCAGAUCCUUGAAUCAGCUGUCACCUCUUCUAUAGAAUGGGAUGGUUUUUUUUCCUUCCUUCAUAACCUGCGCUGGAAAUUGCCGUUGGCUUUAUACAUCUCUAUAGAGGGAGGCUAAAGAGUCUUGCGUGAGAAUGAAGCAAUUUACAAUGCAAAUAGAGGCCUGUGGAGGGACGGACGCUGCUGCACACUCCUAACCGCCCGCUGCACCUUAAUAGCUGGUUUUAUUUUCUGAUAUUAAUAGCUGAAUUGUUGGCUUACGCUGCCGGAGAUUACUUGCUGAAAGGAAAAAAAAAAAAGUUCGGAAUAAACUUUGAAAGCAACA